GAUGAACGCUGGCGGCGUGCCUCAAACAUGCAAGUCGAGCGAGGCUAUGAAUUACCGCAAGGUAAGGCAUAGCCUAGCGGCGAACGGGUGAGUAACACGUGGGUAACCUACCUGGAAGACAGGGAUAACGAUUCGAAAGGGUCGCUAAUACCUGAUAAUAUCCGUCUGCCGGAUGGCGGAGGGAAGAAAGGGGAAACCCGCUUUCAGAUGGGCCCGCGUCCCAUCAGCUAGUUGGUAAGGUAAAGGCUUACCAAGGCGACGACGGGUAGCCGGUCUGAGAGGAUGUACGGCCACACUGGGACUGAGAUACGGCCCAGACUCCUACGGGAGGCAGCAGUUGGGAAUCUUAGGCAAUGGACGAAAGUCUGACCUAGCGACGCCGCGUGAGGGGAAGAAGGCCUUCGGGUUGUAACGUACUUUCAGCAGGGAAGGAAGCGAAAGUGACGGUACCGUGCAGAAGAAGCACCGGCUAACUACGUG
rnacentral:rRNA from 1 species